rnacentral:rRNA from 1 species
AUUGAACGCUGGCGGCAGGCCUAACACAUGCAAGUCGAACGAGUGGCGGACGGGUGAGUAAUGUCUGGGAAACUGCCUGAUGGAGGGGGAUAAGUACUGGAAACGGUAGCUAAUACCGCAUACCAUCGGAUGUGCCCAGAUGGGAUGAUCUAGUAGGUGGGGUAAAGGCUCACCUAGGCGACGAUCCCUAGAUGGGCUGAGAGGAUGACCGUCCACACGGGAACUGAGACACGGUCCAGACUCCUACGGGAGGCAGCAGUGGGUAAUAUUGCACAAGGGGCGCAAUCCUGAUGCAGCCAUGCCGCGUGUAUGAAGAAGGCCUUCGGGUUGUAAAGUACUUUCAGCGGGGAGGCGUUACCCGUAGAAGAAGCACCGGCGAACUCCGUGCCAGCAGCCGCGGUAAUUC